rnacentral:rRNA from 1 species
GACGGAGGGGGCUAGCGUUGUUCGGAAUGACUGGGCGUAAAGGGCGCGUAGGCGGUUUAAUAAGUGAGGCGUGAAAGCCCUGGGCUUAACCCAGGAGGUGCGUUUCAUACUGUAAGACUUGAGUACGAGAGAGGAAAGCGGAAUUCCUAGUGUAGAGGUGAAAUUCGUAGAUAUUCGCAAGAACACCAGUGGCGAAGGCGGCCAACUGGUCCGAUACUGACGCUGAGGCGCGAAAGCGUGGGGAGCAAACAGGG